CGCUUCGGGCCUUCUGGGCAUGUCUGCCAUAUGGCUCCAGGUUUGUUUUUCUCCCCGGCACUCUGACGGGGAGGGCUCCCGGCAUCUCCUGGCGUCCGGGUAGAGGACGCGGAGGAUGCUGAGCUGCUGGCGCACUGCAGCACAACUAGAGAUGUACGGAUGCCCCCAUCUUGAUCUUACAGAAUCAGAGGUACAGCCGCGAGAAAGAGUCAAGAACAGACAGAGUCGCUUGAGGACUCAGGAGGGUGUUUGCUGCGUUGACAACAGACUACACCCUCACAGUUUGCUCUGCUCUUCCAACACCAGUGGAAGAUGAUCACAUCCCAGGGAUCAGUGUCGUUUAGGGAUGUGACUGUGGGCUUCACUCAAGAGGAGUGGCAGCAUCUGGACCCUGCUCAGAGGACCCUGUACAGGGAUGUGAUGCUGGAGAACUACAGCCACCUUGUCUCAGUAGGGUAUUGCAUUCCUAAACCAGAAGUGAUUCUCAAGUUGGAGAAAGGCGAGGAGCCAUGGAUAUUAGAGGAAAAAUUUCCAAGCCAGAGUCAUCUGGGAAUCAUGUUUUAGAGGCUCCAGACCUUUGGAAGUAACAUGUUGACGUGACCCAAAUAUGCAGUGACUCUGAAUCACCCAGCAUCUCCCAGUAUCACUUUCAUACACACAUCUUGUUGUUUUUUUUAAAUUGUGAUAUAAACUAUAUAGUUUAGCCAGAGAUUAAUAAAAUUUUAUAUAUAUAUGUAACACUCAUGUACCCAUCAUUGAGAUGAAUAUAUAAAGUGAUUUUUCAACACCCCCAGAAAGCUCCCUGUUGUACUCUUCCCAGUAAAGAGCAUCCCUCCUUUUGUAAAAUUAAAUAUAUUUUUC
rnacentral:lncRNA from 1 species